CACACGACUCUCGGCAACGGAUAUCUCGGCUCUCGCAUCGAUGAAGAACGUAGCGAAAUGCGAUACCUGGUGUGAAUUGCAGAAUCCCGCGAACCAUCGAGUUUUUGAACGCAAGUUGCGCCCGAGGCCACUCGGCCGAGGGCACGCCUGCCUGGGCGUCACGC
rnacentral:rRNA from 1 species